GGCCCACAGCCCCCGCUGGUGAUACUUGUUAGGGACUUUCUCGGCGCUACACGCUUUUUUUGCGUUGUGCCACUUACUUGUCACAACGGCCCUAAGAGGAGAAGGCAGGCUGUGGUCCCUGGUUGGUGUUCGUUGCUGCCCUGAGGGGAAGAGGAGAGAUGGCCCCUGACCACCACUUGGAGCACGGAUGGGAGUCCUGACGGACAUAGAGUCCCAGCUUGGAACAUCCACUCUUAGGAAGGGGAUUUGAAACAUCAGGUCCUUCUCUCUCUGCACCACACACUUCUAUAGCUUGCCCUGGAGCUGGCGCUGGAAGGAACUUGGAGUAUGUGUGCUCCGGGAGCCGUGAGACAGCCAGAUUUCUCUGAAGAGUUGUCUGACCUCAUUGGCCUCAUCCCUCCCCCAGCCACACCUGCCUCAAUGUCUCUGUCAAGGACGCCCCUCCAGAGUGUCAGAAGAAUGGCGUCUGCUAAGAUCCCCAUGACCUUUGCAUUACUAAAUCAAAUGUACACUUUCAGUCUUCAACUUUUGCGUGUUCUCGGCAGUGUCCUAAAUCUAGAGAGUGGGGUCAUAUGGACCUCCUUAGGUCCAGCUGCGGAGGGACAGACCACAUAGAGUCCAUGGCAUGAUAGUUCUCAGUGAUUCACCGCUCCGUGGAUGGGUGCCCUCCAUGACGGGACCCUGUGGGUCCUCCUGCUGGACGUGGAGUAUCCUUCCCUACUCUGCUGGUGUUGGGAUUGGCCCAGGGGAGUAGGAGCAGAAGGGAGGGCAUGCCAGAAUGAGCCCAGGACUUCUGACGCAUUGCGUGGGUCUACUCAUAUUCCUGGACUGCUACCACUGUCAAGAGAAAAAGAUGUUCUGGUUCCAGAAAUACGAGAGACAUGUGAGAAGAGCUGUUCCAGGUGCCCCACUGACCUGUGAACAUGGGAGUGAUCAUUAAUGCAUAUUAGGGUCCAUAAUCAAAGGAGCGAGGCUGAUACAAAGAGGUCAAGCAAAGCUUUAUUUCGCAUCAAGCAUCGAGAAUCAACUGACCGGUCAGGGCCCUCUCUUGCAAAGAGGCGACCCCUCCCAGCCUCACAGACUUUUAUAGAGGUAGUUUAGCCGGGCUAUACACAGGUGGCCAAUGAGAUUGCAAUACACAGAGAAAACUGCACAGUCAUGCUAGGUCUGCCACACACAGAAAAAACUGCUAGGUAACACACAGGUGGCCAAUUGAAUUUCAAUUUACCCUAGUAGAUAUAUGCGUGCCCCACUGAUUGGAUGUCUUCACCUGGCCUGACCCGCCCUUGUAUCUAGGCUUUGUAAGUAAGUUCCUCUGGGAGGGGCAGGGUCAAUCUAAGUUCACUACAUAAACACAAAAUGACCCCCUCUGGCCAACCAGGUCCUUACAAUGCUUACUGGUUUUUUGUUUUUUUUUUUAAGAUGUAUUUAUUUAGGGAUGCUUGGGUGGCUCAGUGGAUUAAGACUCUGCCUUCAGCUCAGGUCAUAAUCCCAGGGUCCUGGGAUCAAACCCCACACCAGGCUCCCAGAGAGCCUGCUUCCCCCACUCUCUCUGCCUGCCUCUCUGCCUACUUGUGAUC